rnacentral:tRNA from 1 species
AAAGAAAUACUUAAAAAAAGCUUCUAACUUUUUAAAAAGCAUCAAAAUUGU